rnacentral:rRNA from 1 species
UACGUAGGUGGCAAGCGUUGUCCGGAUUUACUGGGUGUAAGGGGCGUGUAGCCGGGCUGACAAGUCAGAUGUGAAAUCCGGGGGCUCAACCCCUGAACUGCAUUUGAAACUGUUGGUCUUGAGUAUCGGAGAGGCAGGCGGAAUUCCUAGUGUAGCGGUGAAAUGCGUAGAUAUUAGGAGGAACACCAGUGGCGAAGGCGGCCUGCUGGACGACAACUGACGGUGAGGCGCGAAAGCGUGGGGAGCAAACAGG